rnacentral:rRNA from 1 species
GUGCUAAUACCGCAUGAUCUCCCCGAGGUCAGAGUCUCGGUGAGCAAAGGCGUAAGCCGCUUUGGGAGGGGCCUGCGGCCCAUCAGCUAGUUGGUAGGGUAACGGCCUACCAAGGCAGCGACGGGUAGGGGGCCUGAGAGGGUGGCCCCCCACACUGGCACUGAAAUACGGGCCAGACACCUACGGGUGGCAGCAGUAGGGAAUAUUGGACAAUGGGCGAAAGCCUGAUCCAGCAACGCCGCGUGCGCGAUGAAGGCCUUCGGGUUGUAAAGCGCUUUUCGGGGGGAUGAGGAAGGACAGUACCCCCGGAAUAAGUCUCGGCUAACUACGUGCCAGCAGCCCGCGGUAAAACGUAGGAGGCAAGCGUUAUCCGGAUUUACUGGGCGUAAAGCGCGUGCAGGCGGUUCGGUAAGUCGGACGUGAAAGCUCCUGGCUCAACUGGGAAAGGCCGUUCGAAACUACCGGACUAA